rnacentral:lncRNA from 1 species
UCAACAUUAGUUAGUCAAACCAACUUAUCAUGAGAAGAAGCAAAAUUAAAAGUCCAUGAAGAAUUUUCUAGUUCUUCAAUAUACUAUACUCACUAUGCACAUCUUUGGGAUGUCAUAAUCGUUCAUAGCAACUUAUGAACCUUUAUUCUAACAAACUUCAAGUUUACCAUAACAUGUACCUUUUACUUUAAUAAAUUUCAGAUUUACUAUUACAUGAUUAAUUUCAGAUUUACUAUUUUAGAAGUAGAUUUCAAAAUAACUCUUCUCAGUUAUUCUACCUCUUUCGGAGUUGAGUUGUGAUAUCAUCACAAUCAAGU